rnacentral:snRNA from 1 species
GGAUGUGAGGGCGAUCUGGCUGCGACAUCUGUCACCCCAUUGAUCGCCAGGGUUGAUUCGGCUGAUCUGGCUGGCUAGGCGGGUGUCCCCUUCCUCCCUCACCGCUCCAUGUGCGUCCCUCCCGAAGCUGCGCGCUCGGUCGAAGAGGACGACCAUCCCCGAUAGAGGAGGACCGUUCUUCGGUCAAGGGUAUACGAGUAGCUGCGCUCCCCUGCUAGAACCUCCAAACAAGCUCUCAAAAAGAUGUGGUCUAUGUAUACAAUGGAAUAUUACUCAGCCAUUAGAAACGACAAAUACCUACUAUUUGCUUCCACGUGGAAGGGCCUGGAGGGU